rnacentral:rRNA from 1 species
UUUUCCGGGUUGAUCCCGCCGGACCCCACUGCUAUCGGGAUAGGACUAAGACAUGCUAGUCAAGCGCUCACCAGCUAAAGGUGAGUGCGGCGCACAGCUCAGUAACACGUGGCUAACCUGCCCUUGGGACGGGGACACCCCCGGGAAACUGGGGUUAAUCCCCGAUAGGCGAAGAAGUCUGGAAUGAAUCUCCACCCAAAAGGCGCUUGUGCUAUGCUCAUAGGUGUCGCCCAAGGAUGGGGCCGCGACCGAUCAGGUUGUUGGUGAGGUAAUGGCUCACCAAGCCUUUUACCGGUGCGGGCCGUGGGAGCGGGAGCCCGGAGAUGGGCACUGAGACAAGGGCCCAGGCCCUACGGGGCGCAGCAGUCGCGAAAACUUUGCAAUACACGAAAGUGUGACAGGGCUAUCCCGAGUGCCAUCCGCUGAGGAAGGCUUUUACCCAGUUUAGAACGCUGGGAGAAUAAGGAGAGGGCAAGACUGGUGUCAGCCGCCGCGGUAAUACCAGCUCUCCGAGUGGUGUGGAUGUUUAUUGGGCCUAAAGCAUCCGUAGCUGGCUGGACAAGUCCCCUGUUAAAUCCACCGAUUUAAUCGUUGGAGUGCGGGGGAUACUGUUCGGCUAGGGGACGGGAGAGGCAGACGGUAUUUUCGGGGUAGGGGUGAAAUCCUAUAAUCCCGAGAAGACCACCAGUGGCGAAGGCUGUCUGCUAGAACGUGCCCGACGGUGAGGGAUGAAAGCUGGGGGAGCGAACCGGAUUAGAUACCCGGGUAGUCCCAGCUGUAAACGAUGCAGGCUAGGUGUUUGGACGGCCACGUGCCGUUCUAGUGCCGCAGGGAAGCCGUUAAGCCUGCCGCCUGGGGAGUACGGCCGCAAGGCUGAAACUUAAAGGAAUUGGCGGGGGAGCACCACAAGGGGUGAAGCUUGCGGUUUAAUUGGAGUCAACGCCGGGAAUCACUAGU